rnacentral:lncRNA from 1 species
AUGACCGCGCUCUUGUCCUCCCGACGGCCUCGGAAGGUAAGGGGCGACGGGGGCCGGCUGGAAGCUUGGCGGGGCACGUCACCCACUGACCCGGCCACUCACCAGUGCACCAACACCGCACGGCCCUCAGCGCGGGCCUGACCGAUGAAGGCCACGCACCGGUCCAGAUGGCUGAGUAGGUCCGUCUCGGGUUUGUCCAGCGCUGGCACGAAGAGGCGCCAUAGAUCCUCGACCCCAGGCCCCGCCUUGAAGCUGGGCUCCUCCGAGUCCACUGUUAGCACGGCCGUGAUGCCCGCUUCCCUCAGGUGAUCUGGCUCCGCGACGGCCGCGGCCCCACCGAAAUACAAUCCUGGCUGCACUUCCAGCAUCUGCCCGGCACAGCUGACUCUGCUGGCGCUGGGGUUGCUGAGCUCGCAGCCAUCACUCGGGCCCGGAGCCUCCAACAUGGCCGCGCCCAGAGACAAGGCGGCUUCCUGCCCUACCAUCGAGUAGACUCCGGCUAGAACAUCCUUCCCCUGGGACUCGCCAGCCUCGGCGGCUCUGCUGCUCCCUCGGAGGACCACGUCGGCCGCAGGAAUCUGGACUUAUCGCUGAGGGGCGGAGCUUCGGCCCCAUUCAGCGCGGCCUUUCCACCCUUGUUCCCUCUGACCCCUACCCCCAAAGUUGAUGGUGAAGGAUAAGCUUCCCCAAAUACAGGGUUUCUCGAGCUCUUAGUAUUGAAAUUUUCAGGAAAGAGACAUCAGGAGCAGCUGAACUCAAAUGUGAAAUAAAUGUCGCACCAGCUGAAUCAGAAGCAUCAUUUUAUGCAUUUGAAGUAAAAUUUUUUUCAAUAUUAUGGAGCCAUCUUUACUGUGCAUUUCAUGAUUAUUUUUCCUUUUUCUGCCCAAUUUCAUUAUUGGGGUGUGAAUCCUUGUUGAUGUUUACUGUCUAUUUAUUUUGAAGAUACUAAUCCUAUAUUUUUGUAAGUCAAUGUCCUCCGGCCAGGACUACAAGAAACCAACUUUAAUUAAGCAAGUUGGUUUUAUUACUCAGUCAUGAGUUAUGGAGAAUUUCAGGGCAUCUCAGCACGAGGAUGUUAGGAAGAUCCUCUACAGAUUUUGGGCUUUUAUUUGGGGAUUUUGGAAAGGGUUGAAGGAAGCAGGCUUUGCUCCAGACUGAAUGCUGCAGGAAGAUACUCAGUACAGUGAGUAUAUUUUAUAUAUCUUUUGUAUAGGGAGGACAGGUGAGAGAGAUACUAAAGCUGUAAUUGGUCAAGAAGUAGCAGCUAUAGUACUGGUAUAAAGAUAGAUACAUCGACGUGUCUCUAUUCUGGAACAGAACAAACCCUUGCGUGUGGAGUCCUAAUUAGGGAAAAGGAGUCAGGCUGGCUGGACGAAGGGAAGCAAAAGGAGAAAGCAGACAAGCCAUAAGUCUGCCUUUCUUCGUGGUCCAGGACACAUAGCCCUGCUGUGCAAAUAACUCACAAUCUGCCUGUGCCCAGCCAUCACCAGACCCUCAGCUGAUAGAAAAAUGGAAGUUAGUUCACUGCAACCCUGGCAUUAUUAGUACUGCACAAAGCCCUCUUCCACCCACAACAUAAGCACCAUUCUACAAAAUCCCCAGCAAGCCUUUGUUUCCUAGCAGUCAGCUUCUCUCUUGCUGACCUGCCUGUUGCACCCUUGCAAUGUAUUUUCAUACUUUAUCUAAUAAACCUGCCUUUCUUUACCUAC